rnacentral:rRNA from 1 species
GAUGAACGCUGGCGGCGUGCCUAAUACAUGCAAGUCGAGCGAACGGACGAGAAGCUUGCUUCUCUGAUGUUAGCGGCGGACGGGUGAGUAACACGUGGAUAACCUACCUAUAAGACUGGGAUAACUUCGGGACACCGGAGCUAAUACCGGAUGAUAUUUUGAACCGCAUGGUUCAAAAGUGAAAGACGGUCUUGCUGUCACUUAUAGAUGGAUCCGCGCUGCAUUAGCUAGUUGGUAAGGUAACGGCUUAUCAAGGCAACGAUGCAUAGCCGACCUGAGAGGGGGAUCGGCCACACUGGAACUGAGACACGGUCCAGACUCCUACGGGAGGCAGCAGUAGGGAAUCUUCCGCAAUGGGCGAAAGCCUGACGGAGCAACGCCGCGUGAGUGAUGAAGGUCUUCGGAUCGUAAAACUCUGUUAUUAGGGAAGAACAUAUUUGUAAGGAACUGUGCACAUCUUGACGGUACCUAAUCAGAAAGCCACGGCUAACUACGUG